UAGCACUUCAGAUUUUUCUAUACUGAGCUCCUAGUUCCAGUGCCUGGUGUACAAAGGGGCUGAAGUGUCGUCAGCCAUACAAAGAAUAAGCCGGCCUAGGCUUCCCUGGCCUCCAGGAGUUCUACAGACAGAAUGCCUGAACCCUGCAGAGCAGCUGGUGUGAGGCUCUGCUGGUGAGCUGGCUGACAACAGAAGCACCGGCUUCCUGAACUGGGUGGGGUCUGGGAGGGUGCAGAGGAUGAGUACCUGACUUUAAAAUGGGAUCUCGCGCAGGGCAGGGUGAUCUUUAAAUCUUCCCACCCCAGUCCUGCCUCUUCCUCCUAUGAGCUGGGAUUCCAGGCUGGUGUGCCAUGCGCCACCAUACCCAGCUAGUGCAAUGGUUUUGAUGCAGCUGGUUCUCAGCAGCCUCAGCUUAGCUGCUAAGGAGAGUGCUGGAGAGAAAAGGACGCAAAGACUUCACAGUCCUUUCCAGAUCCCUUCAGAGGCUCCUGGCCAAUCGCAUGGACCAUUGUUUGCCUUUGGUCUGCUUCCUUGGUUCUUGCCCUUGUGACUUUGAUUCCUAAACCCCCUUCAACACAAGUGACUUCUACCAAUUUGAACGUGCCUUUCUGGAAUCCUACUUGAAGCAGGAGACGGGACGAAAUAAACAGGAACUAUCACAUAGCAAGUCUCAGAAAAUCUUAAGGACAUUAGGGAAAACCCUCGGUGGUUUCUUUUCAGCUCUGCUCUGGUGGAAAGACUGGUGAUGACCCUCUUUUAUUUAGCUGAUAACCAAAUAGCAGUAAUUAACACAAAGCCUCAAUCAACAAAAUAGUCCACAACUCCCAAUGUGAGGAAUGUAACCAGUAUUAAACUUUAGAAAAAUGGCUUCAAGAAAUCAAGCACUUUUUUUUUUUUUAAAAAAAAAGCAAGGUCUUGUUGCAUGGCCCAUGCUGGCAUUGAACUCGCUGUCUUCAUCUUCCUGCUUUUUGCUUUGUGACUCAUGACUGGAUUCUUCCAGAGUCAAGGUCACAGGGAAUUCUGAUUUAAUUCUAUAGUUAUUUUGAGACAGGCCUCAUUAUGUAGACUAGGCUGGCCUAAGUCUACACUGGAGACCCUUCUGAGUGCUGAGGUCCAGCAAUCCCAUACACUCUGUGAGUACUCUUACCGUCUUCCCCUUUAUUAACUCCGUGGCUAGGGAGCUGGAGGCGAUGGCGGAGCCGCAACCGAAUGUUUUAAAUCUGGCGUCCACAAUCUUCCCCUUUUCAUCCACCUGAAUCUAGAAAAGAAACAGGAGCUAAGAGGUGACCUUGGAACCUCUGGCCCACAGUGGGUGUUCAGCAUGAGCCCUGGGUUGCUGUGCACACCAGAUGCUAUGGCAUCAAUUACUAUGUUUUAUUUCAAAGAGCUCAGUCACCGACAGUGAAACCUGGGGCCCACACAGACCCAGCUGACAGA